rnacentral:rRNA from 1 species
CGGUUAGACUGGAGGGCCUAGUUAUAUUGUUAAGGUAAAAAGGUGGUUAGGCACAAAAGUAUUAUAUUUUCAGUUAUAUAAACUACUGUAUAGAAGUGUAAUUCUUAUAUGGGAUGAUAGGUAAUUCAAAGAUGGCUGUAUAUGUUGAAUCCACUAAAGCUUUGAGGGAAACUGGGAUCUGGUACCCCAUUAUUCUUAGUUGUAAAUAGGUAUUAAGCUUACCAGAGUACUACGAAUUAUAUAAUUUGAAACUCAAAGGGCUUGGCGGUGUUUUAGACCAAUUAGGGGAACCUGUUCCGUAAUCGAUGAUCCACGUUAUACCCCACCCUCUAUUGAAAUCAGCUUGUACACCGUUGUCAUCAGGUAACAUUUUAGAUUAGUAAAGUUAGCGAUAGAAUUUAUUUUAUUAGUUUUUAUGUCAAAUCAAGGUGCAGCUAACGAGAGGGGGAGGAUGGGUUACAAUUAAGAUUUAUAAGACGGAUCAGACAAUGAAAUUUGUUUGUGAAGGAGGACUUAAAAGUAAGAUUAUUUAGAAAGAUAGUCUGAAUGUGGCUCUGGGAUGUGUACAAACCG